GAAGCGGUGGGAAGUCAUAAAAACAGUAGAUUGUAAAUUAAAGGUAAAAGCAUACUUUACUAUCUCUCAAAACCCCCAAAUCCAAUACAAAAACAGGAAUUGAAUCUUACCAAAAAAAAAAAAAAAUCACAAGCUAAUUUGAAAUGGCGGAGAACAUCAUCGACGAUCCGGAGUUGAACGUUGUUGUUGCCGCAACUUCUCAAGGAUCAGGAAUCCACCCUGAAACGGCUGAAAUGGCGGAGACCAUCAUCGACGAUCCGGAGGAUCAGGAAUCCAACGUAACAAAACUUUGUAUCUGGUUGUCAAUUCAAAUUGGGACUUAAAGGGAUUUGAGAGAGCAAGUAAAACUCUCAAUCAUGCUUGUGAAACCCAAUCUGGCGUGCGUUAUGCCGAAGAGGAUUUUACAUUAUGCGGCAAGUGUCUUUUGAUUAUGCCUAUUACUGAUUGUGGUUGCUUGCUAUGUAACGAUUGCAUAAGCAGUGAGUUUCUUUUGCUUGUGUCUACUUUCUAAGCUUAUUGUUAAUUAGACUUAUUUCUAAGUCUGUUUCGGAAUUUGCAGCCCAUGUAUCUAAUAUGGUUAAAGAAGGAUCUUUGCUUGCCCUUUGUCCCAUUUGCAUGAACUACUACCUAACUUCUAGGUUUCUUUUUGAAACACUCUUUCCAGUUGUGCGUAAUGAGUGGACUAAUCUCUUGAUUGAAGACUUUAAAGAGAAAACAAAGAAAAACUUCAUUUCUCAUGGUGUUGAAGUUGUGUGGAAUCACAAACACAUCAUUGGUGCUUUCUUCUUUGCCUUAUAUGUGAUCCCUAAGUCAAUCGAUAGUCUCCACACCAUUGCCAACUCCCUUGAUGAGUUGAAAACAACUUUUGUGGAUGUCAAAAAUGGACUCAAAUCUUGGAUAGAGGAUCAUCCAAGAACUGUGGGUGAAUUGAAGACUCUGCAGGAUCAAUUUGAAGAUGGGGGCUCUCCUUCAAGCCCUAGGUUCUGGGGUAAAUUUGUUAGGUCAAUCUAAAGCCUCCUCUGUUUCUUUUUGCCAGAACAAUGAACAAGUUGUAUUUAUUUUCAUCUUAUUUGCUUACUUAGAUACAACUAGAUUAGGACCCGCGGUACACCG